GAUGAACGCUGGCGGCGUGCCUAAUACAUGCAAGUCGAGCGAACAGAUAAGGAGCUUGCUCCUUUGACGUUAGCGGCGGACGGGUGAGUAACACGUGGGUAACCUACCUAUAAGACUGGGAUAACUUCGGGAAACCGGAGCUAAUACCGGAUAACAUUUGGAACCGCAUGGUUCUAAAGUGAAAGAUGGUUUUGCUAUCACUUAUAGAUGGACCCGCGCCGUAUUAGCUAGUUGGUAAGGUAACGGCUUACCAAGGCGACGAUACGUAGCCGACCUGAGAGGGUGAUCGGCCACACUGGAACUGAGACACGGUCCAGACUCCUACGGGAGGCAGCAGUAGGGAAUCUUCCGCAAUGGGCGAAAGCCUGACGGAGCAACGCCGCGUGAGUGAUGAAGGGUUUCGGCUCGUAAAACUCUGUUAUUAGGGAAGAACAAAUGUGUAAGUAACUGUGCACGUCUUGACGGUACCUAAUCAGAAAGCCACGGCCAACUACGUG
rnacentral:rRNA from 1 species